rnacentral:rRNA from 1 species
AUUGAGCGCUGGCGGCAUGCCUUACACAUGCAAGUCGAACGGUAACGCGGGGCAACCUGGCGACGAGUGGCGAACGGGUGAGUAAUGCAUCGGAACGUGCCCAGUAGUGGGGGAUAGCCCGGCGAAAGCCGGAUUAAUACCGCAUACGACCUACGGGUGAAAGCGGGGGAUCGCAAGACCUCGCGCUACUGGAGCGGCCGAUGUCAGAUUAGGUAGUUGGCGGGGUAAAGGCCCACCAAGCCUACGAUCUGUAGCUGGUCUGAGAGGACGACCAGCCACACUGGGACUGAGACACGGCCCAGACUCCUACGGGAGGCAGCAGUGGGGAAUUUUGGACAAUGGGGGCAACCCUGAUCCAGCCAUGCCGCGUGCGGGAAGAAGGCCUUCGGGUUGUAAACCGCUUUUGUCGGGGAAGAAAUCUUCCGGGCUAAUACCCUGGGGGGAUGACGGUACUCGGAGAAUAAGCACCGGCUAACUACGUGCCAGCCGCCGCCGUAAAAC